GAAAUGCGAUAAGUAAUGUGAAUUGCAGAAUUCAGUGAAUCAUCGAAUCUUUGAACGCACAUUGCGCCCGCCAGUAUUCUGGCGGGCAUGCCUGUUCGAGCGUCAUUACAACCCUCAGGCCCCCGGGCCUGGCGUUGGGGAUCGGCGGAAGCCCCCUGCGGGCACAACGCCGUCCCCCAAAUACAGUGGCGGUCCCGCCGCAUCUUCCAUUGCGUAGUAGCUAACACCUCGCAACUGGAGAGCGGCGCGGCCACGCCGUAAAACACCCAACUUCUGAAUGUUGACCUCGAAUCAGGUAGGAAUACCCGCUGAACUUAAGC
rnacentral:misc_RNA from 1 species